rnacentral:rRNA from 1 species
UACGGGGGGGGCAAGCGUUGUUCGGAAUUACUGGGCGUAAAGGGCUCGUAGGCGGCCAACUAAGUCAGACGUGAAAUCCCUCGGCUUAACCGGGGAACUGCAUCUGAUACUGGAUGGCUUGAGUUCGGGAGAGGGAUGCGGAAUUCCAGGUGUAGCGGUGAAAUGCGCAGAUAUCAGGAGGAACACCGGUGGCGAAGGCGGGUCUCUGGGCCGAUACUGACGCUGAGGAGCGAAAGCGUGGGGAGCAAACAGG